AAAUUAAUAAUAACCAUUCGUCGUAUAAUGUUGGGGAUAUGGCCCAAGAGUUUCUACCGAAGCACCGAAAUUUGCUUCGACUACGAGGAGGAUGAAAGUUACU
rfam:Gracilibacillus kekensis strain CGMCC 1.10681 genome assembly, contig: Ga0079828_106